rnacentral:rRNA from 1 species
UAGCUCCCGGUUAAUAUGUGCCAGCAGCCGCGGUAAAACAUUAGGGGGCAAGCGUUAUCCGGAUUUAUUGGGCGUAAAGGGUGCGUAGGCGGUUAAAUAAAGUCUAAAGUUUAAGUGCAAUGCUAACAUUGUGAGCUAUAAAAACUGUUAAACUAGAUUAGAUAGAGGCAAGUGGAAUUCCCAUGUGUAGUGGUAAAAUGCGUAAAUAUAUGGAGGAACACCAGUAGCGAAGGCGGCUUGCUGGGUCUUUACUGACGCUGAGGCACGAAAGCGUGUGGAGCAAACAGGAUUAGAUACCCUGGUAGUCCACGCCGUAAACGAUGAGUACUAAAUGUUGGGUUAAACCAGUGUUGAAGUUAACACAUUAAGUACUCCGCCUGAGUAGUACGUACGCAAGUAUGAAACUUAAAGGAAUUGACGGGACUCCGCACAAGCGGUGGAUCAUGUUGUUUAAUUUGAAGGUACCCGAAAAACCUCACCAGGUCUUGACAUGCUUUUGCAAAGCUGUAGAAACACAGUGGAGGUUAUCAGUUGCACAGGUGGUGCAUGGUUGUUGUCAGCUUGUGUCGUGAGAUGUUGGGUUAAGUCCCGCAACGAGCGCAACCCUUAUUGUUAGUUGCCAGCACGUAAUGGUGGGGACUUUAGCAAGACUGCCAGUGAUAAAUUGGAGGAAGGUGGGGGAGACGUCAAGUCAUCAUGCCCCUUAUGACCUGGGGUACAAACGUGAUACAAUGGCUGUUACAAAGGGUAGCUGAAACGCAAGUUUUGGGGAAUUUCAAAAAAGCAGUCUCAGUUCGGAUUGAAGUCUGCAACUCGACUUCAUGAAGUUGGAAUCGCUAGUAAUCGCGAAUCAGCAUCGCAGACCCCUCGUCCCG